UCAGUGAUAGCUCAGUGGUAUAGUGCAUGCUUUGUGUGCAUGACGUCCUGGGUUCAAAACCCAGCUGCUCCC
rnacentral:tRNA from 1 species